AGCAUGGUGGUGAUAUCAUUCUCUCCGGGAUGGAGGAGGGUUGCGAAAUUGGUUUCUCCAUAAAGGAGGACGGUUUUGAAAGUGAUCUCUCCAUAAAGGAGGAAGUUUUUGAAAUUUGUAUCUCCCUAAAGAAGAAAACUGAUCUUGAGCCAACGUAAAUCCUUAGAAUUGAUCAGAAAUAGCAUAAGGGGUUUGAACUAACAACCACUAAUAGGAGUUCUAAUUCAGCCGAUAGGAUUGAAAAAUCUGAGAAUGACUUGUAUACCUUGGGCUUGGCGAAGGGUCCACGAUUGAUGAUUGGGGAAGAAUAGAAGAACGACAUGGGUAACACCACCGCAUCUCGGAGAUCCUUCGAAUCUUCACCGGCACGACCACAACAUCUGCUUGU